rnacentral:tRNA from 1 species
UCCCGUGUGGCUCAGUUGGUAGGUAGAGCAUGGUGUUUGCAACGCCAGGGUUAUGGGUUCAAUUCCCACGGAGGAC